rnacentral:lncRNA from 1 species
UAAUUCCUAAAUAAUCAAAAAGAGUAAAGACAGAAUCACAGAAACCCGUCACUAACGGCUAAGGCCCUAAACCAGCAGCCACCAGUUCUUGUCGACUUUCACCAGCCACCGGUCUCUCUUUCGCCGUCUCGCCUCUCCCUCUUGCCACAGUCAGCAGUUGGUAAGUUUCUUUUCUUGUUGAGUGUGAUUUUACUUGCAAAAAUUUCCACAAGCAAGCAAAAAGAUAGUCGAAUUUAGAAAAGGUCAUUCCUUUUUAUUAGAAAAGGUCUUACUUUUUUUAACACUUGCAAUACUGAACUAGCAAUGGAUUGUUUCCACAAAAGGUAAGUUUCAAUGAUCGAUCGAAUUCAGUGUUUUAACUUGUUCCCGAAUUUGAUUUGUCUUAGGUGCUUGGUAUUAGUUACUAAUUUGUUGCCAAACGAUUUGUUGGUUUAUAUAAUUCUGGGUCUCUGAGUAUUGAUUAAUUGAUUUUAGAUUCAGUUUAACACAUUUGUUCGAUGAUUUCAGGGGUUUCUGUUCCAAAAGUUGUUGAAAUAAGAAGUGCCAUUGAUUGUUUCACGAAAUGAAAGAAGAGGAGGUCUUUAUUCUUUGAUAGUAAGGAUUAACAUAGAAUUUGUCUUUGAUUUAACUUGCUUUGAGUUAUUUCAGUGUAUUUGAUUAAAAAAGUUUCUGCUUUUUGGAGUGGCUUUUUCUUUGUAUUUAUUAUCAAUGCUAAUUAGUGAUUAUCCUUGCUUGUUUAUGUAUACUGGUUGCAGGUGAUAAUGUGACUUUAAUUGCUGAGACUGUGAAGUGAGACUGUGACUUUAAUUGCAGUACAUAUGAGUACAGAAAUUGGACACUUCUUUUGAAAAUUUCGCGUUUCAUUUCGGGUUUAUUGGUUGUUUUCAACCCAGGCUCCCUUAGUUUAUUUGGCCAGAAAAGCUUCAGUUAUAGUUGAUGCUGAAAUUUGGUUACAAAAGACUUCAUUAUAUAUCCUAAAUGUGUCAUUGACUGAACUGUUUAUUUUGUUUUCAGUAAGGACGUUGUAAUAUGCUAUAUGCAUCAUUGAUACUGAAACUUCUGUUUGGUUAUCAUUUAACUGAAUUACCAUAUUCUGAUCCUCUAGCAUGUGAUAUCUCCAGUGUUUUCUCCACCAUAUUUUUAGUUGAGUUAUCUAUCUUGCUCAUAAAGUAGUGAAAUAGUGUUGUACAUUUAGGGAAUGCAGA